UACAGAGGUCUCAAGCGUUGUUCGGAUUCAUUGGGCGUAAAGGGUGCGUAGGUGGCGCUGUAAGUCGGGUGUGAAAUUUCGGAGCUUAACUCCGAAACUGCAUUCGAUACUGCGGUGCUUGAGGACUGGAGAGGAGACUGGAAUUCAUGGUGUAGCAGUGAAAUGCGUAGAGAUCAUGAGGAACACCAGUGGCGAAGGCGGGUCUCUGGGCCGAUACUGACGCUGAGGAGCGAAAGCGUGGGGAGCAAACAGG
rnacentral:rRNA from 1 species